UAGUUGUGGCAUGUGGGCUCAGUAGUUUGUGGCACGAGGGGUCUCUCGCUGAGGCGCGAGAGAUCAAUAGUUGUGGCACGCGGGCUUAGUUGCCCCGCGGCAUGUGGGAUCUUAGUUCCCCAACCAGGGAUCAAACCCGUGUCCCCUGCAGUGGCAGGCGGAUUCUUUACCCCUGGACCACCAGGGAAGUCCCUCUUUCAGGUAAUCUUGAUCCUAAUUAGAAUUAAAAUUAACUAACUAAGCCUCCCAGGAUCUUCAUUUUUUCUUUUUACAUUUCUCCUUGUUUAUUAAACCAAUUUUAAGAGGAAAGGAAAUGGGAGGAGUCUUCAAAGAGAAACUUGAUUAAUAGUUUAUCUGGCAGAAAGAGCAACAGCCCAUAGUUACUGACCUGCGCGACAGUGAUGCACGGCUCUUGCCGCCCCAGCUCAUGUGUGAGGCCGUCAGGACGCAGACCCCGGAAAAGAACGUGGAGAAGCCGGGAGGCAAAGGGCAGGCCGCAGCUUGAACCCAGGCCUGCCUGACCCUCCCCGCCAGCCACCUCUGACCUCCAGGGCCCCACAUCCCGUGAACACACAGAUCUUACACGGUCAGUUCCCUCGCUUUUGACAGAUGAACAUGCCUGGGUAACCCAUGGCUUAUCAAGUUAUGGAAUGUUUUCAUUGCCCCAGAAAGUUCCCUCAAGCCCCUUCCUCAAGAAAGUUCUGCCCCUCUGCCCCAAGGCAGCCACUCUUCUGCCUUCUAUCGCCAUGUAUCUGUUCAGUCUGGUCUAGAUGACUGUAGAAACAGAAUCACAGGUACGCACUCCCUGGGCCUGGCUUCUUUCACUCAGCGUGAUGUUCUGUUCAUGACAUUCAUCCAGUCACUCCUUUUUACUGCUGAGUAUGAGUCCACUGCAUGUAAACGCCACAGUUACUGGUGUAUCCUGCUGAUGGGCAUUUGGGCCAUUUCCACUUUUUGCUAUUAGGAGUAAAGCCGCUAUCAUCAUUCCUGCAGAAGACUUUUUUUUGUGAACAUGUGUUGUUUUUCUUGAAUAACACCUAAGAGUGGAGCUCUGGGCUAUAGGUAGAUAUCUGUUUAACGUGGAAAGAGACCACCAGCCUUCCCAUUUUACACGCCCACCAGCGGUGUGUGCUGGUGGCUCACACCCUCACCAGCAUCCACUUAUGGCACCUCUGUCAGCCAUUCUAGCAGGUGUAAAGUGGCAUCAUGGUUUUAUUUGCAUUUCCCUGGUAACUAGUGAUGCUGAGAAUCUUUUAAUGUGCUUAUGGAGGGCAUCUGUAUACCUUCUUUUGUGAAGCAUCUGUCAAGUCUUUUGCCUGUUUUUUCAAGGUGAACGGUUUGUCUUCUGAUGACUAAGUUAGAGGAUGACUCAUUUUGACUGUAAAGCAGGGGAAAAAGGCGGUGCGGCUACAUUCACUGGCAGUGCUGCUCUUGGCCACCUCACACAGUUGUCACCGGUAUCAGAUGACAGCCCAUGUGUCUACACCAAAACGUACAGGCACGGAUCCUGCUAUGGGGCAAUCUCGUCACAUGUGUUUAGCUUAAAAGUAUCAACCCACUACUACUGAAAAAAUUCUUAGUAUCCCUUUGUACAUUUCCUGAAGAUGAUGAUUUCUCUUAUACUGAAAUUAGCUGUAUUUUUAAAAUCUUUUAUAGAAUGUCUUACCGGGGAGUUAAAAUAGACAUCCUAGAGCUCUAACAUUACCCAUGAAAAGAUUUGUAGCGAUCCAAAUAAAGGACUUUCAGCAGUAAAUUCCAGAAACGGCCGAGAAACAAAUUCUAAUUUUAAAAUGCUAAUUAAAAAUAAUUUUAUGUUGGAGUCGUCAACCUGCCCUAACAGGAACUACAGGUGGUAGCUGCUCACGUGAAGAGAGUUACAUGGUGACAAAAACACACUGGG